AUUGAAUUUAUAUUUAAAUUCAAACUAUCCCAUUUGUUAUAUAUCCGGUCUGAUUCUUGAUUAAUCUGGGUUGGUUGUCAUUCGGAUAAUUUUGAAGAGUCCUUUUUACAUCUAAGACUAUUGGAAAAUUGAUUUUGUUUGAGGAGGAAAUAUAGUCCGGAAUUACUAUAUAUCCAGAUUACUCAUAAAUUUCAUCUUGCCCUCGACAAAGAUAUAAUACAAAGAUGGAUUUUAUGUUCCAAAAUGCAUUGCAAAUUUCAAUGAACAUCUUGUGUUAAAAAUGAUUGAGGCUAUAUAUAAAUUAUAAUUAAAUGGAAAACUAUAGAAGUGCUUUGCUAUAACUAUAGCUUUGGUUUAAUAAAUAUAUUUAUUAAAUUUCGUAUGCUAUCGUGA
rnacentral:lncRNA from 1 species